GCCAAUGUUUAUUGCUGAAAGCGUGGCUAUUUGAAAAGGACACCAUCUCAUUCAUUUCUAGUUCUGAAUUUUUAGUUUAGAUAUGGGUGCUUUUGUAGUCUAAAAUGUGGGAAAAGCUAGGAAUUGCAAGCAUUUCUUUGAAAAUGAAAGGAAAUUUAUAUAUAAAAAUCCUAGAAAAUGAAAUUCAAUGUUCAAAAAUGUAAUAGAAUAAUUAUUUCAUGAACAUUUAGGAAGAAGAUAGCCCUCUUCCAAAAUUGAAAAGGAGGAAGAAGCAAGCACCUAUAUGUCAGUAUAUGUGUUUCAGCAAAUCUGACAUCUGGAACCUGUCCGAUCUGCAAUAAAGAAUAUCCGAUGGAAAUCAUUUCAGUGCGUGCCUCCAGUUGUGGAGAGGGGAAAGAGCUGUGUUAAGUUGAACAUGACUCUCCGAGAAAACAUUUCAAAUAUAUUGGAAGAUACAAAAAAACAUGAAAAACCAUGGACUCUUAAAGUUGUGAGAAGGAUGUUUUCAAGUACCGCUAUUGAAAAACUAGAGGAUGGUGAUGAAGAAAUUGGAAGAAACCGAUAAGUAUUCUUUUCAUUGGAGAAGAAG